rnacentral:lncRNA from 1 species
CCAGUAAGGGGCCAUCACAAGGAGAGGAGGACUGGCACGGCAGAAGCUUCACCUUACCUUUACAGCCACACUUCUUGCAGGUGGUGUUCAGGACAGCCUCGAGGGUGAUCUUCUGCCCAGUGUAAUCCUGGAAGGACCGCCUCCGCCUCUCUUCCUGCCUGUAACGAAAAGGACACUGACUGACGGCCCUCUUAAGAGAUGUGCCAGAGAUACUAGAAGGUAAUGCCGUAUACUGGUUUUUGUUUUGUUUUUUGGCAGGUAGAAGGAAAAAAGAAGGAAAAGCGUCGUGCGUGAGGAGACGAGUAGCGAAAGCAGCGCCAUGAAACAGAUGAUUUUUUUCAUUCAGGACAGGCUCUGAAUUAAUAAUUAUGAAUGAGACAACUUCAGCUCACCGAAGCACAGAGGAUAAAGCUGUGAUUACUCACCUCACUAAGCCCCCUAUAACCCUGACAAGGUCACUCCUGGGGUUUAAAAGACCUCCAAAGGCUUCCUAAAAAAUCAGGUCCAAAUCCCUUACUUUGGUGCUUGAGGCCUUUCCCAGUCUGGCUCUAACCUGCUUCUCUGGCCCCUUCUUUACUUGUACGAGAUGCUCUAGCCAAACAGGUUUAGUUUGCCUUCUCCAGAUGGUUCGCUGCCCUCACCUGGCCAGUUCCCUCCCCCUGAAAUGCUGCCUCCCCUCUCUCCUCCCACCUCACCACCCCCAAACAUCUCAAGGCUCAGUCAAUGACCAUCUCUCUUUCUAUCAGGUCUUCUCUCGAGCCCUCAGCCAGAAUUCAUCUCUUUGUUCACGUUCCUGUAGCGCUUCUUAAAAGUUCUAAAGGUACUACUAACGUAUAUGUGCAAAAAGGCGUUCAUAAGCAUACAGCUUGACCAGCUUUCACGAUCUGGACACACCUAGGAAACCAGGAUUCAGACAAGGAAACAGAAGGCGGCCAGCACCUCCAAAGCCCCGUUAGUCACCAUGCCUCCCCCAAGGGUAACCGCUACUCUCAUUUCUAACAGCAUAGUUUCAUGGAUUUUUGUAAAUUAUGUGAAGGGAAUCCUAGAGUACGGACGCUUCUCUGUUUGACUUCUUUCACUUGCUCGGGAGAUUCAUCUGUAUUGCUGUGUGCACUUAUGCGUCACCAAUUCUCACUGCUGCAAAGUAUUUAGCUGUCGAGAGGUAUCUGAGUAGUCUCUAUCAGGAACAGUGCUUCUGUGAACUUUCUAGCACGUCCUUCAGUGAACAGAUAUAUACGCAUUUCUGUUGGGAAAUGCCUACUUCCAGGGAGCAGAGGAACAGUAUACUGGGCUGUAGGGCAUCAGCUGUAGCAGACACUGCCGGCCGGUUUUCUGUGGCGUUUACCAAUUACACUCCUACCAGCUGUCAUGGCUUUCUUUGACCUUUACUGUAACACACAGUACCUGCACAGAGUGGGCACUCGGGAAUGUUCGAUCGCAGUGUUACCCUCGAUCACUCUUUCUUUCAAACUCAAACUGUAGUCAAACACACUUCAGUCCCAUGGCACAUCACACUUUAUAGCCUGAUGCCCUGACGUUUCUUCUCUGGACUGUGAGCCCUUUCUACAACACCUUACUUGUCUUUGUUCUCCCAGCACCUUAGCCCAAGGCUUAGCAAGCGACCACAUCAAUGAGUGAAUGCUGAAAUUUCUGUGGUCUUGACCCCAAAUGUUUUUUCUUUACCUAAACCUCUUUAACUUUGAACACUGACUUCACCUAAGCUUUCCAACUAUUCUCCAGGUCUCUAGAGAGUCCAGCAAAACCAGAAAUAUUUUGCCAAAAACACCCCCUCACCCAGAGAAAUGCAGGAUGACCAUAUCAAAGCAGAACAAAACUGCCCACCUCACAUAUUUUAGUUCACAGUUUCAUGGGAUACGCAGGCUCAAGAGAGGAAACAGAAAAGACCGAGAUACUCCGUAUUCUGUCCUGGUCAUUCUUCAGUUCAGCUCACACACAUCUUCUCUAACAUGUUCCCUGCUACCACAGGCAGAGUUAAUGACUCUUCUGUGCUCCCACACCAGUUGACUCUCUGAUCAUUUUGUUACAUUUGUUUACAUUGUGGCUCACCCUCCUACCCCGAGCAGGACUUCAAAGAUAAAGUCCAUGUCUGACUUUUCCCGAUAUCUGAACAGCAAGCAUGUUCUCUAGCAUACUGCUGUCCCACAGAAUGCAAUGAUGGACAAGUUCUCCAAGUUUAUGUCUGUACUGCUGACUAAUAUUUAUAUCUGUGGCUACUGAGCGCUUAAAAUGUGGUUAGUGUAACUGACAAAUUAGAUACUAAAUUUUAUUUAAUUUUAACUUACAUUUAAAUAACCAUACGUAACUUAGUGGCUACCUAGUGGGACAGUGCAGACAAGCGUCAUAAAUUCUGAAAAUGUCUGCUCAAAUCCCCAGCUUUUGCCCUAGGAUAAUCUUACUCAAAGAAUAGGGGGUCACUGUCUAGCAUGGGUCAUGGGAGAGGGUCCUUUCAAAGAGUAAAGCUUGAGUAACAGAAACCAAGGUGAGGGGACACCUGGCUGGCUUAGUGGGUGGAGCAUGUGACUCUUGAGCUUGGGGUUGUGAGUUCAAGCCCCAUGCCGGGUGUGGGGAUUACUUAAAAAAAUAAAAUCUUUAAAAAAACAAAAACAGGUACCUGGGUGGCUCAGUUGGUUGAGCGUCAUGACUUCGGUCAUGAUCUCACGGUUCGUAAGUUUGAGCCCCACAUCAAGAUCUCUACGCAGAUCUCCGUGCAAGAUCUCAGCACAGAGCCCGCUUUGGAAGCUCUGCCUCCCCUGCCCUUCCCCACUCACACUUUCUGUCUCAAAAAUGGAUAAACAUUUAAAAAAAAAAAAAAAGGUGAGGUGAGUAGAGAGAGAAAUGGGAGUUACUUGUCAAGAGGCAUAAAGUUUCAGUUAAACAAGAUGAACUAAGUUCUAGAGCCCUGCUGUACAACACCGUACCUAGUAAACAAUACCGUAAGUACACUUAAGAUUUUGUUAAGAGGGUAGAUCUCAUGGUAAGUAUUCUUCCCACAAUAAAACUCAUUUUUCUUAAAAACCAGGGCAGGAUCUUGGGGACAUAACUUGAGAAAGUCACACACUUCAUGGCGUUCAGAUGUCCUUAUCUGCGGAGCUGAGUUUCAAGUGAUUAUGAGCUGCAGCUUAAACAAAUCCUCAUUAUAAUCAAUUCCAAUAUUCUGUGGGUCCUAACACACUACAAGCCAAACGUAAGUCCCACUUAAUACUCAAUCCAACAAACGUGUCAUUUACCACAUCUCCCUUUCUGUGCUCACUGUCAUCGCGCUGCUUUAGGCUUCUAACUACAUCACAUCUAAAUGGUAAUAAUCCCCUCACGGGUCUCCCUGCCUCCAAGUUUCCUCCUCCAAUCCAUCCAGUGCACAUAGUUGAAUUAAACUUUCUUUUUUUCAGUUCAACUAUUAAGUGGUAGGCAUCGGUGCGAGUACUAGGGAUAUAAGUACGUUAAAAUGACAGAACAUGGUCCUUCUCCUCAAGGAGCUAACAGACUAGCAGCAGAGGGAGACAUACACACGGGUAACUACAGUGGUGAAACAUAAAUACUCUUUUUUUUUUUUUAAGUUUAUUUAUUUAUUUUGAGAGAGAGAGAAAGCAUGAGCGAAGGGGCAGAGAGGGGGAGAGAGAGAGAAUCUCAAGUAGGUUCUGCACGGUCAGUGCGGAGCCCCACGCAGGGCUCAAACUCACAAACCGUGUGAUCACGACCUGAGCCAAAAUCAAGAGUCAGAUGCUUAACAGACUGACCCACGCAGCUGUCCCCCAUAAAUACUCCUCUAAAAGACUAUGCUAUACUGGCUAAACCUACCUGGAAACUGUCUUUCACCCUUUCCAUUUACAGAUUCACUUUAACACUCUGGGACUGAAGGGACGAAAUGUAAGACAUAUAUUGAUGAAAAACAAAAGGCAGCUGACGGACUGGGUGGCUGGAGACAGCACGAGGACACUGAGCAUAAGAAGGCAAGGUCAGAGAAUGGGACAUAAGGGGAGAUUAAUCUGAUCAGGUGCCUCUACUCCUCCUCAAAGGCUUUAAGAAAAUUAAUACUACUCUUUGGCUGAUAGUCAAGUCAAAGCUCUCUACAAUCUGACCCCAACAUACCUUUUAAGCCCUACAUUCUAGACCUUGACCACACCCCCCCUCUUUUUUUUUAAUUUACAUCCAAAUUAGUUAGCAUAUAGUGCAACAAUGAUUUCAGGUGUAGAUUCCUUAGUGCCCCUCACCCAUUUAGCCCAUCCCCCCUCCCACAAUCCCUCCAGUAACCCUCUGUUUGUUCUCCAUAUUUGAGAGUCUCUUUGUCCCCCUCCGCUUCUAUAUUAUUUUUGCUUCCCUUCCCUUAUGUUCAUCUGUUCUGUGUCUUACAGUCCUCAUAUGAGUGAAGUCAUAUGAUAUUUGUCUUUCUCUGACUAAUUUCGCUUAGCAUAAUACACUAUAGUUCCAUCCAUGUAGUUGCAAAUGGCAAGAUUUCAUUCUUUUUGAUUGCUGAGUAAUACUCCAUUUUGUGUGUGUGUGUGUGUGUGUGUGUAUCACCUAUAUCCAUAUAUAUCCACAUAUAUCCAUCAAUGCACAUUUGGACUCUUUCCAUACUUUGGCUAUUGUCGAUAGUGCUGCUAUAAACAUUGGGGUGCACGUGUCCCUUCGAAACAGCACGCCUGUAUCCCAUGGAUAAAUGCCUAGUAGUGCAAUUGCUGGGUCGUAGGGUAGUUCUAUUUUUAAUUUUUUGAGGAACCUCCAUACUGCUUCCAGAGUGGCUGGACCCCCCUCUUUUCUUAAACAAGACUCCUAAAUGUGCCCUGUGUUUUCCUGUCUCAUGCCUUUCCUUAACCCCUUUCUUCUAUAUGGAAUAGCACUCCCUUCCCUGCUGCCUGACAAAAUUGUAUCCAUUCUUCUAGACCUAGCUCAAAUGCAACCUCUCUUCUAACUAUCAGGGACUGAAACUAACUUGUCCUCUUUAAGCUAAUUCCUAGAAUUCUUCCUUUAAUCCAUUCUUUUGGCAUUUAUCCCACUUGCCUUCUAUUAAAGUUAUUUGCAUAAUGAUCUCAUUACACUAGGCCCUAAGGCCCUUAGGCAGAAACCUUGGUAUUGCCACUGCACCUAAUGUAGAACACGAACCUCUAAGAUAAUUGUUGAAUAAAUGAGUAAAAGAAAGCCCCAGCUAAAUGAGAGAUACACAUCAGGCACGAUGGGAGAUAAGAAAGAGGUGCAACCCCUGUUCUCCUGGGUCUUACAUAUUCUUUCAAAAGAAAAGGUGUGCUAACCAAAGAGAAAAAUGAGAUCUUUGAAAACAAUAACUACAAUGGGGUGCCUGGGUGGCUCAGGCACUUGAGUGGCGGACGUCAGCUCAGGUCAUGAUCUCACGGCUUGUGAGUUCGAGCCCUGCAUUGGGCUCUGUGCUGUCAGCUCAGAGCCUGGAGCCUACUUCAGAUUCUGUGUCUCCCUCUCUCUCUGUCCCUUCCCUGCUCUCACUCUGUCUCUGUCUCAAAAAUAAAGAUUAAACAAGAUUAAAGAGGGGUGCCUGGGUGGCUCAGUCCGUUGAGCAUCUGACUUUGGCUCAGGUCAUGAUCUCUUUCAUGAGUUCGAGCCCCACAUCAGGUUCUGUGCUGACAGUGCAGAGCCUGGAGCCUGCUUCGGAUUCUGUCUCCCUCUCUCUCUGCCCUUACUCUGCUCACACUCUAUCUCUCUUUCUCAAAAAUAAAUAAACAUUAAAAAAAAUUUUUUUAAAAACCAGUAACUACAAGUAGCCACCAUCUGUUAAGUUUCUACUGUAAACUAGAUGCUAAUCUGGCUCUUUACAAACAAGACUGUAUCGAGAUCAUUCCAUCAUUUCUGAGAUGUAGGUAUCAUUCUCUCCAACUGAUAGUGAAGAAGCUGAGGUUCAGAGACUCAAGGUGGUCUGUUCAAGGCCAUACAUCAGCUUAUAGCAGAACUAGGACUCUUUCUGCUUUACGUAGAACUCUAAAACCUCUUAUCAGUCCACUAUACCAUGCUUCUUUCCUGGAUGCAAUUCUAAAUUUUUUUUUUUCAACGUUUUAUUUAUUUUUGAGACAGAGAGAGACAGAGCAUGAACGGGGGAGGGGCAGAGAGAGGGAGACACAGAAUCGGAAACAGGCUCCAGGCUCUGAGCCAUCAGCCCAGAGCCCGACGCGGGGCUCGAACUCACGGACCGCGAGAUCGUGACCUGGCUGAAGUCGGACGCUUAACCGACUGCGCCACCCAGGCGCCCCACCUGGAUGCAAUUCUAGAAAUAGUUUACAAGUUACUGUUCGGCCACUUGGUUAUUACUAGAAAUAGCCUACACACAGAAACAUGGACACCCCCCAAACCAAGUAAAUGCCAAACUUAAAAUAACCUUACUGAGUUCUGAGUUAUAAAACAUUUCUACUGUAACCAAAAAGUAUUCUGUCAAUAAUCAGACUUACAAAUGUCAAUAUUUGGAGACAAAACUAUAGAAACAUGGAAAAACUCUUAAGUCACAUGCAACAGCUAGAAGCAUCAUGUGUCAAAAACAGGCAUUAGCCUUAAUGUCAAGGAAACCUAGAUUCAGGUCCUUGACCCACUAUAAUUUGCUACUAACCACAGGCAAAUUAUUUAUCACCAAGCAUUAAGUUCAAAGUUAGGAAUCCAGGGGCACCAGGCUGGCUCAGUCAAUGGAGCAUGUGACUCUUGAUCUCAGGGUUGUAAGUUCAAGCCCCACAAUAGGUGUGGAGAUUGCUUAAAAAUAAAAUCUUAAACCCCCCCCCCCAACUAGGAAUAAAAAGUAAAAUGAAGAUAAUACCCAUUUGGAGGUUAUUAGGAGAAUCAGAUACACAAAUGUAUGUAAACUGCCUUGCAUAAUGCCCGGCACAUAAUAUGUAUCCAAUAAAAAUCAAUUCCUUCCCUUUUAGGUAAAAUUCUUAUGUAUCCAAACUGAUUUUGCUUAUGGGACGUGUGGGUGGGUGGCUCAGUUAGUUAAGCACCUGACUUCAGCUCAGGUCAUGAUCUCAUAGUUCGUGAGUUCAAGCCCCACAUGGGGCUCUGUGUUGACAGGUUGGAGCGUGGAGCCUGCUUCAGAUUCUGUGUCUCCCUCUCUUUCUGCCCCUCCCCCACUCGUGCUCUGUGUGUCUCUCUCUCUCCAAAAUAAACAUCAAACUGAUUUUGCUUAGAACUAUAAACACAGGUUUCCAAACUUUUCCCCACCAAGAUCCCACACAAACAUUUAUUUUUUUCUUAUUUUUUAAAUCAAUAACAUAACUCCACUGAGAGCACCCGAUUAGCCUGAGAUAAACAAUGUGCUAUUUUAACAAUAUCAAAAGCAAUAAAAUAAUGUUUUUUUUUUCUUUAGAGAGAGCGUGUGUGCAAGUGGGGUAGAGGGGCAGAGGAAGAGAGAGAGAGAAUCCCAAGUAGGCGCCAAGAUCAGCGCAGAGCCUGAUGCAGGGCUCGAUCCCACAACCCCAGGAUCAGGACCUGAGCCAAAAUCAAGAGUCAGACAUUCAACCAACUGAACCACCCAGGUGCUCUAACGUAUGGUUAACCUGAAGGUAAAUGCAUGAUUUGGCUGGCUUUCUGAAAUACUGGAAACAGUUCAUAAACCCUUCAGGGAACCUUAGGGAACUAGGAACCUCUAAUCAGAAAUCCCACCGGCAUAUAUUCAGGAAAGACUUUGAGACAGAUAGCAAAUUCCCUUGUAUCACCAGACAUUAGCCUACAUGGAUAGCAAAUCUUCCAUUCCUAAAUGAAAGGUCCGAAGAGCCAAUAAAACUAAGAUGUGGUGUUCAGAACACAGUUAUCCCAAGAUGUGUUGCUUCUAGAUUACCCUACCCUCCCACAUGGUCUCUGUCUUCUUUGAGCCCCAGUGCUAGGAGACAAGGAACAGGUGCUUCAUGAAUGCUUGUUGGCUGACUGGUUAAAGGGAUAAAGCAGAAAGAAUAAGGGGAAGGAAACAAAACCACUGAUGGAGCACUUCUGUGCUAGGAGCUUGGCAUGUUAGCAUUCCAUCCUCGAACUCUACACAGCACAGUGUGACCUACACUUCAGACCUCUAAAUCCAAAUAUCACCAAGGCUACUUAACUCCUCAAUAUCAGAGACUAUAUAUGGUAGAGUUCCCAGGUCAGUCUGAUUCACUACAGCAUUCUUUAGUUUGAGAAGCAGAAGGAUUUUAGCCUUUCCAAACCUUUUACCUACUCAAUGAUAACGUUGUUGGGGUCAAGGUCUUUCCCAGUCCCUUGGUUGACGACUUUCAUGGAGAGGGACACUUUUAUCCUAUCAUUUUUCAUCUGUAAAAGACAAAAGGCAAAGUCACCAAAAGUUAAGAGUACAUCAUUUAGACUGCUGAUCUCCAAUUAUCUAACUGAGAAUCAAAGCUUUUAUCAUCAUAACAAACACUGAGCUCCUCUAAUGGUUGAGGUCCUGUGCUGGGAACACUGGGAGUACUAAUGAGAAUAAAUAGAUCUUGUGGCAGAAUAACUGUAGGAAGCAGUUUUUACCGUAGUUUUGUUCCUCUGGGGAGGAAAGACAGAAAUGGCUGCUCAGAAAUUCAAGGCCUGUGGAGGUAGCCAGGCAGAAAAAUAAAAGCCAUUUUUCAAGUUCAGCAUAAUGAUUAGUUCAGAGAUCCAUGAGCCCAGAAUGGGUUUCUGAAACACUCCAGACUAGACUAGAUCCUCCUUUGGACUUGGUCUAGAGCAUCUUUCUUUUUUCUUUUCUUUUCUUUUCUUUUCUUUUGCCUUUUCUUUUCUUUUCUUUUCUUUUCUUUUCUUUUCUUUUCUUUUCUUUUUUCUUUUAGCCACAUUGGUCUUCUUUUGCUCCCUCCAACCCUUGCAGCCCUUCUCCAUUUCAGGGUCUUUGCAUCAGCUGCUCUCCUGGCCUCGAACAUGCUUAUCCCAGCUUCUCACGUGGCCACUGCCUUUCCCUUUAGGUCUCAGCUCAUGUGUCAUUUCCUCAGAGAGCCUGUGCCUGACCACUAAAUCUACCUCUGACGCUGCCUGAGCCCAUUACAGCACUUAUUAGAACUUGCAAUUUUUAAAGAAAUGCUUAUAUUUAUUUGAGAGACAGAGCACACACGUGCAAGCAGGGGAGGGGCGGCGGUGGAACAGAGGAUCUGAAGAGGGCUCAGAUCCUAAGCCACCCAGGCACCCCUAACUUACAAUGAUUUUAUACAUAUGCUUGCUCAUUUUAGUGUUUGUGUCUUCCAGUUACAUUCUGUAUAAGCUCCAUAACAGCUGAUGUCACCUAUGUCUGCUUCGCUCUUAUAUCCCUCAGACUAGUACAUGGAAGCACUCAAACAUUAUUGAACGGCGUCUCUUUCAGCCCUAUCUGCCCCGGCCGUUCUCUGGUGGAGGUCUCGGCGUCUGAUCACAUUUCUCCUGUAGGCUGCCCACACCCGCAGCCCACAUGCCCUCAAGGGAGUUGCUGUUAACAGGGUCCUUCAGACUUUUCUCACUUCCCUCACACUGCAUGGUGCCAGGUGUUAGGAUCAAUAAUGGUAAACUCUGUGUCUGCCCUUGUUUGGGUCCAAACUGAAGUGUACCUGGCAGCUGUUCUCUGAAGUUUGAUAAAGACUCGUCCCAGCAAUUAAGCUGCCUUCUCUCUUUUUGGUUCUUUUCUUUUCUGUUUUUUUUUUUUUUUUCUUGCCACCGGCCAUUUGCAUAAACUUCAGGGAGGAAAGUCUUACAAAUGUGUACUUAUUGCACCACUCUUAUUACAGUUUAUACCACGUUCCUUCUGAGUUUACAGGACAGCGGGCCAGAAGGUUUCAAUUCAGGACAGAAUUCAGCAGCAGGAUUCAAAAAUAAGAUCAUCCGCCACAGUUAAUAACAUAUACACAUUCACCAUCUUGCCCCUAGUUUUCCUUCAUUCCUUCUCACCACAUGAAAGUUGCACAGAACCUUACCUCUCGGCCAAUAAGCUUCACCCACACUUUGUCCCCGACAUCUACUAUCUCAGAGGGCUUAUCCACGCGACAGGAGGACAUGUGAGUUCGAUGGACCAAACCUGGGCACAAGAGGAAAUGAAGUAAAGCACAGGGUAUAUCUGGUAUUUAUACUCUAAAUAACAAGGUAAGGAGAAAAUGGGAGUGGGGAAUUCAUUGUAAAAUGUCUGUUAAUUUAAAACUUUAAAUUAAGACGAUGUGGGAUCAUGUUUUGUAGCUAAUCAACAAAUAUUCUUUAAAAAUAAUGCUCAGGGGCGCUUGAGUGGCUCAGUCGGUUAAGGGUCCAACCUCAGCUCAGGUCAUGAUCUCGAGGUUUUUGAGUUCGAGUCCCACAUUGAGCUGUCUGCUGUCAGCACAGAGCCCGCUUUGGAUCUUCUGUCCUCUCUCUCUCUGCCCCUCCCCGACUUGCAUGCACACACACGCGCGCACACACACACACACACACACACACUCUCUUUCUCUCUCAAAAAUAUACAUUUUUGGGGCGCCUGGGUGGCUCAGUCGGUUGAGCGGCCGACUUUGGCUCAGGUCACGAUCUCGCGGUCCGUGAGUUCGAGCCCCGCGUCGGGCUCUGUGCUGACAGCUCAGAGCCUGGAGCCUGUUUCAGAUUUUGUGUCUCCCUCUCUCUGACCCUCCCCUGUUCAUGCUCUGUUUCUCUCUGUCUCAAAAAUAAAUAAACGUUAAAAAAAAAUUUUUUUUUAAAUAUACAUUUUUAAAAAUAAAUUAAAAAAAUAAUGCUCAAUGUUAGCAAACAUGUGAUACAAUAACCACACUUACACUAGUAAAAACACAAGUCAAUGAAAGUCUCUGAAAGCAAGGGCAUCAAGAUGUUUUUACCUUUGAUGCACGAAUAUCAUCAUUAGAAUUUUUCCAAAAGAGAAAACCCAAUAAAGGCAAAAGACCUAUGGGUAUGGAAAAAUACCUGCAGUAUUAUUAUCUAGAAAAGUUUUUAAAAACCUAUAAGGCAACCUAAAUGAUUAGCUUGGUAAACCGUGGUAAAUCAACCAAAUGGAAAAGUAAGCAGCCAUUUAAUUUACAAUUAUGGAAAAUAAUUAUGAGAAAUAAGUGAAAAAAAAUCUAAACAAGGUGCUAUUUUUAACCUAUUAAAUUAACAAAAUAUUUAGAAAAUAACAAUACCCACUGGUGAGAGCAUAGUCAAGUAAGAAAUAUUGCUAGGGCUAGUAUAAAAUGUUAGAAAUCAUUUAGCAAUCACUAUCAAGAGUGGUAAAAAUAUUUAAUAAAAUUUGUUAAAAGUUAGGGGCACCUGGGUGGCUCAGGUGGUUAAGCGUCCAACUUUGGCUCAGGUCCUGAUCUCAUGGUUUGUGAGUUCAAGCCCUACAUCGGGCUCUCUGCUGUUAAUGCAGAGCCUGCUUCAGAUCCUUUGUCUCCCUCUCUCUCUGCCCCUCUCCCACUCAUACGCGAGUGCGCACGUACUCUCUCUCAAAAAUAAACAUUAAAAAAAAUUAAAAGUUAAAUAAUAGUCAUUAAAUAAUUUAAUAAAAUAUUUGUAAUAGAUAUCCUUUUCCUGUCUGUCCAAACUCCUUUCCUGGGAGAACCACCUUCCCUAUUUUCUUUUUUUUGUUGUUGUUAGACAAUUUCAGAUUUUUAAAAAGUUUUUAUUUAUUUACAAUCUCUACACCCAAUGUGGGGCUGUAACUCAUGCCUCUGAGAUCAACUUCAGAUUUUUAUGGAAAAAGUUAUUAAAGCAUUAAUCAACAUCACCUUCCCUGCUUUCUAAAAUAAAUCUGGUCAGUUCAUGUGAUUUGGUUGAAGCUGACACAACCCCCAACUAUGGACACAUGACACAAGCUUAGUCAAUCAAGAUGCCUCACCCAGCUAGCCACAGUAACUGAUUGGUUCAGGGAUAGACACGAGACAUUAGCUAAAUCAAUUCAUCUUUUUCAAGAUGUUGGGAUUACGAACUACAAAAAUUUACCAAUGCCCAUAUUAACCACCAGGUGGCAAGAUGUGACCAAAGGUAAGAGACCAAGCCCUCAGGGUGUAAUCUCAGCACCUGAUAGAGCCCUAGGGAAGCCAGAUUUAUCCUGCACAUCCCAAUGGGAAGAGUCAAAACAUUUCUCAACUGUUUCUGUCCCUUGCAACCAAGAGUUCUGACUAAAUUAAUUUGACCCAUAAUCACUUCUGGGAAUCUGUCCAAAGGAAGUAAUCAUAUACACAGAAAAAGUGAUAUGCAUCAGGAAAAGUGACAUACAUAAAAAUACUCAUGUAUUUAUAAGACAAAAAAAUUAAAAACAACCUAAUAUUCAACAACAGAGCAAUGGUUAAGUCAACUGUGGUACAGCCAUUGAAUGGUCCAUUAAAAAUGUUGCUUAAAAGAUGAUGUAAAAAUAUAUCCAUAAUUCAUUCUUUAGUAAGCAAACAUCUGAUUGCCGACUCUGUGUCGAGCACUGAAAACAACCAGCAUUUCCCCAUAUAAAUAACAAAAUACAACACAAAAUUGUAUACAGUAUGACUACAAAUGCUUCAAAAAGAUUUUAAAAGUCAGAAUGAUCCAAAAUGCUGUAACAACGAUUAUACUAGUGUACAAGAUUACACGUUCACUUUUUUCUUUAUUUUCAAGUGUUUCAAUAAAGAAAAUUGUCUCUAUUCUGGGGGAAAUAGACACAAUAUACAAUUAUUUUGAAUGAACAUAAACCAGGAAUGUAAACUAGAGAAAAAACUGGUAAGUCAAAGAGUUACGUCUAAAAUGACUGCCCUUCCUUAAGUUUCCUGGGGGAAUUAUUAGCCUGUAUUCUCUCUCUCAAGCUGUCUUGCACAUGUGUGUGCCCACAAAGUCAUCGGCACGGCAGGCACACACCUGUAAUUCGAAGCACCUGGCCUCUGCUUAGAGCUCCUACUGGAAGUCCCUGCUUGCUCUGACCACCGUCACUGGGUCUCACCUACCUAUGUCGGCUCAUUCUGGAGGUUGAUAGCCUAUGAAGAACUCUGGGGCCUCCAAAAUGUGUUAUAUACAUCUUAUACGUUCUUAUGUUUUUAAUUUUAGACACAUCACGUAACCUCCAAAUCGGAUAAAAUUUGUGAAGCUGUAUUUUUUUCCCCCAUGAUGGUGUAAUGGGCAGAGCUGCCUAAUUGGGAAGUCUAGAGGGGAAAUCCAGAUGAUCUGAAGGAAAGGGAAACCUUUCCCUUUGACAUUUUUUGCAACUGUCCUCUCAUGUUAAAAUUUACUUCUUUCCUCUGUUAAUGAAAGUUAUGAAGGAAAUUAAUGUUGAACCUAAUAAUACUUGAGAGAUUUUUUUUCCCCUUUCCUAAAACAGAAGGUCUGUACCACAAACAAGGAAAUAAUGGCACUAACCAUUUGUCCUCCCCUCUGAUCCCAAAGUAGGAUAUUUUUUGGUCCAGGCAUCUCUCCUGGUUCAAUAAGGUAUUUCUCAAAGUAUUAGUAGCGAAAAAUUGAAAACAACUUAAAACAAUUAUGUGGUACAUCUGAAUGACAGAAUAAUGUCAUUUAAAUGUU